rnacentral:lncRNA from 1 species
CAUCACAGUUCCAGAAGCAAUAGACUGUGCUGUAUAUAUGGUGCAUAGGAGGCUUAGGUGUGUAGUAGGCUGUCCUAUCUAGGUCUGUGUAAGUACACUGUGUGAUGGUCACAUGACAAUGUAUUUACAGACUGUAUUUCUCAGAAUGGCUCCUGGUUGCUGAGUGAUGCAUGAUUACAUGUGGGCAGCUGGUGUUGGAGGAGAGGCAGGAUGGGGUGCAGAGGAGAUGAUGAAAUCCAUUCUGGACAUGCUGGAAUUGGAGAAAUUUCCAUGAAAUUCAUUUUGUCUUGACCUCUGGAAUAAAGACACCUGCUUUGGAAGGAAGAAGCAAAAAGGAGUCUUGGGCUCCAGUAAGUUGUCGGCAUGGUUAUGCAAUGAGCACCUUUUAUAAACUUGAGAGUCCAAGGGAAGUUGUCAUCACAGAGUACUCCUUGUCUGGCUGUAUCAGGGCCUCUUUAGGUGACGGUGAGGUGUGACUAAGUGCCACAAGCCAUCAGUUAUUAAAAACACACCUCUCAUGGGGGUUGGAAAGACAGUGGAAUGAGAUGGACAUCAUUACCCUAAGUACAUGUAUGAAGACAGGAAUGGUGUGAAUAUACUUUGUAUACAACCAAAGAUAUGAAACAUUGUUCUCUAUAUGUGUAAUAUGAAUUGCAAUGCAUUCUGCUGUCAUAUAUAACAAAUCAAAAUAAAAAAAUUAAAAAAAGAAAUACCAAGAGCUCACGGAUUCUUUAGCAAAUUAUGCUGCAUUUCCUUACCUUCAGAUAUUCUUU